GAGAGUUUGAACAGACUUGGGAGUCCUC
rnacentral:piRNA from 1 species